rnacentral:lncRNA from 11 species
CUUUAUUCUGAGGAGUUGGAGAGUAAGGCAGUUCUCAGGAAAUCACCAGCAGCAGCUCACCUUUUGGGCAAUUGGUGAAGCCUAUUUUUUAAAAUCGUAUUUUGUGAUUUGAAGCAAGCGCACUAUGACCAUCAAACGUGGAGAUCAAGGGCAGCGUUACAGGCCAAGGAUGGCAUUCCUGAAAAAGCUUGAAGUUCUGAUGGUGGAGAUGCAGGAUCCAAGUUCUGGCAUCAAAAUGCAAACUCAGAAGGUCACCGUCUGCGACAUCCCGCAUGCUAUGUUUGGUAAGUCUUGACAGUCAGAAGCACUGGAAAACAGUGCCACCUAACUAAUCUCCUUUAUAUAAUCUCAUCUAAUAUUCACAACUAUUUUAUCUCUCUCUUGGAUAUUGGGAGGACACUCAAAAU